CCAUGUUACGUUGAGAGCCACAAAAUACAAAAGAAAGAACGGGAGUACAACUUCCAAAUUAAAUGAAAAAUUUUGCUCGCGUUUGUAGUACGGUAUGUAUGAAAGAGCAACUGAUAUACAUCGAGAUACAUAACAGUAUUGCCACAUAUGUCAUCUGACAACGAGAAACUUUAUUUUCAAAUACUAAUUCGAUCUGAUCGAGGGCUAGCUGAUCGAGAAUAUAUACGUAUCACAUGCAUUCGAACACACGUGUAAUAUAUUAUCCCAAUUAAUUAGUUGCGGAAGAACACCAUACGGAGGAGAAUUACUGAUACUAGCUGCAAGUUGGACCACAGCAUACAAUCAGGGCUUACGCGAUGCGCAUGGCGGGUAGCAGUACGGAUAUUGAAGCAAAACCCGGCCGGCGGAAGCCAUCGC
rnacentral:lncRNA from 1 species